CCAAACUUGGUCAUUUAGAGGAAGUAAAAGUCGUAACAAGGUAACCGUAGGUGAACCUGCGGUUGGAUCAUUACCAAAUUUUUAAAGGUAUCUAGUUUACUGGAUACCUGGGUAUUGAAAUAUAUACCACAUUUACCUUGUGUGAAAUGUAAAUUGUAUUGAUAGAUUUUUCAUCUGGGUUUUUACUUGGGUGGUUUAUCUAUAUAAACAUUUUAAGUUUUCUAAGUCUGAAUAGUUUUUUUACAUAUUGAUAUUUUGCUUUAGUAAAAUAUUUAAAAUUGUUAAAACAACUUUUGGCAACGGAUCUCUUGGCUCUCGCAUCGAUGAAGAACGCAGC
rnacentral:misc_RNA from 1 species